rnacentral:rRNA from 1 species
AACAAACGCUGGCGGCGUGCCUAAUACAUGCAAGUCGAACGGGGAAAGCUUUCGGGUGAGUACUAGUGGCGCACGGGUGAGUAACGCGUGGAUAAUCUGCCUUUGAGUGGGGGAUAACUAGUCGAAAGAUUAGCUAAUACCGCAUAAGACCACAGGAACUGAGGUUCUAGGGGUUAAAGGUUUUUCGCUCAUAGAUGAGUCCGCGUGAGAUUAGCUAGUUGGUGAGGUAACGGCUCACCAAGGCGACGAUCUCUAACUGGUCUGAGAGGAUGAUCAGUCACACUGGAACUGAGACACGGUCCAGACUCCUACGGGAGGCAGCAGUAGGGAAUAUUGCACAAUGGAGGAAACUCUGAUGCAGCGACGCCGCGUGAGUGAUGAAGGCUUUCGGGUCGUAAAGCUCUGUCGCAGGGGAAUAACACAAUGAAUGUACCCUGUAAGAAAGGAUCGGCUAACUUCGUGCCAGCAGCCGCAGUAAAAC